CUGGAGAUGCUCAGCACUUCUGA
rnacentral:miRNA from 1 species